GAUCAUGGCUCAGGAUGGACGCUAGCUACAGGCUUAACACAUGCAAGUCGAGGGGCAGCGGGAAGUCAGCUUGCUGACUUUGCCGGCGACCGGCGCACGGGUGAGUAACACGUAUCCAACCUCCCGCAUACUCGGGAAUAGCCUUUCGAAAGAAAGAUUAAUGCCCGAUGGUUUCAAGGGAUUGCAUGGUAUCUUGAAUAAAGAUUCAUCGGUAUGCGAUGGGGAUGCGUU
rnacentral:rRNA from 1 species